CAUUCCUCUUGAACCUGUUAACACAGCCUUGAUAGCAGCGGGAAGAAUAGUCAUUCUGCCUGCACACCUCCAGCUCACACUGCAGGAAGACUGAUGGGUAUCGUCCAACAAAUGAAAAUGCAUUAAAGCCAAACCGACUGACACUUCUGUCUGGUGAAUAGUAAGAAGAAUAGGUAGUAUCUUUGACACACCUAGAGAGAAAUAUAAAAGUAACAGAUUAGUUGUCUUAAAGAGAAACACUAUUACACUAUCUCUGUGCAAUAUGCUUCAGGUUCAGAUAUAAAACCUUAUAUAUAUAUAUAUAUAUAUAUAUAUAUAUAUAUAUAUAACCUAUAUAUAUAUAUAUAUAUAUAGGUUAUAUAUAUAUAUAUAUAUAUAUAUAUAUAUAUAUAUAUAAGGUUUUAUAUCUGAACCUGAAGCAUAUUGCACAGAGAUAGUGUAAUAGUGUUUCUCUUUAAGACAACUAAUCUGUUACUUUUAUAUUUCUCUCUAGGUGUGUCAAAGAUACUACCUAUUCUUCUUACUAUUCACCAGACAGAAGUGUCAGUCGGUUUGGCUUUAAUGCAUUUUCAUUUGUUGGACGAUACCCAUCAGUCUUCCUGCAGUGUGAGCUGGAGGUGUGCAGGCAGAAUGACUAUUCUUCCCGCUGCUAUCAAGGCUGUGUUAACAGGUUCAAGAGGAAUGCAGGAUCUUCACAGGAAAAAAUGAGUGUUAUUGUUGGACCUAUCCAGCUUCAGGAGGCUCCCACUGAGAACAGAAAUGCUGGUAUUGAUCUGGCCUCUAACACCCAGGAGAGAGGGGAGUCUGAGAGCUCAGCGCCUGCUGCCGGCUCUCAUGUUCCUCUGGCUGUGACCGCCGUGGUGUUGGCAGCUGCUGUCCUCACCGUGGGAGGAUUUCUUCUGAAGCGCAAACUGCAGGAACCCACCCCGUACCAGAUAAUGUGAGAGGUGACCAAACAUCUGCUGGUGGAGGGUGCAAUUUGAACAUUACAGCGCAUCUCAACUGAGC
rnacentral:lncRNA from 1 species